UACGAAGGGGGCUAGCGUUGCUCGGAAUUACUGGGCGUAAAGGGCGCGUAGGCGGAUAGUUUAGUCAGAGGUAAAAGCCCCAGGGCUCAACCUUGGAACUGCCUUUGAUACUGGCUAUCUUGAGUUCGGGAGAGGUGAGUGGAAUGCCGAGUGUAGAGGUGAAAUUCGUAGAUAUUCGGCGGAACACCAGUGGCGAAGGCGACUCACUGGCCCGAUACUGACGCUGAGGCGCGAAAGCGUGGGGAGCAAACAGG
rnacentral:rRNA from 1 species